GGCCUAACGGCUGAACAGCAACUUGCAGGAACGAGAGUUAAUAUAAAUGGUUUAUUAACUUGCUUGACUAGGUCUUAUAAAGUUCUGGACAAAGCUGAUAAUGACAACUUUUAAUCCAAAGGUCUCGACUAAAUCUUGUGCCAGCAGUCGCGGUAAGACAAGGGAGACGAGUGUUAUUCAUCUUUAACAGGUAUAUUGGGUACCUAGACGGUGUGCAAAGGCUGAUAUAAGUACCUAUUACACUUGAGUUUAAUAUGUGAGAGGAAGAUGUCAGAAUUGUUGGUGUAUGGGAUGAAAUCCGUUGAUACUAAUAGGACUGAUAAUGGCGAAGGCAAACCUCUAUGUAUAUGCACUUACUUAAGAACAUAAGAACAACAGUUAUCAUGAAAGUGAUAUGAAAAGUUAAAAAUAGCUUCUUUUUUAAGUAAAGUACUAAACUGACGUUGAGGGACGAAGGCUUAGAGAGUGAAGAGGAUUAGAUACCCCCGUAGCCUAGGCAGACAAUGAUGAGUGCCAUAGGUUGGCUUAUGGCUGAACUAUAAAUGAAAGUGGAAGCACUCCACCUCAAGAGUAAUGUGGCAACGCAGGAACUGAAAUCAUUAGACCGUUUCUGAAACCAGUAGUGAAGUAUGUUAUUUAAUUCGAUGAUCCGCGAAUAACCUUACCACAAU
rnacentral:rRNA from 1 species